rnacentral:rRNA from 1 species
UAAUCACCUGUCUUUUAAAUGAAGACCUGUAUGAAAGGCACCACGAGGGCUCAACUGUCUCCUACCCCCAGUCAAUGAAAUUGAUCUGCCCGUGCAGAAGCGGACAUAAAAACAUAAGACGAGAAGACCCUGUGGAGCUUAAGGCACAAGGCCAACCACGCCAAGCACCACCCAAAAGACACAAGCACAACAGCCACUGGCCCCACAUGCCUUCGGUUGGGGCGACCGCGGAGAAAAACAAAACCUCCACGUGGACCAAGGACACAGUCCUCAAAACCAAGAGACACAACUCCAAGCAGCAGAAAAUCUGACCAAAAAGACCCAGGCCCAAACACGCCUGAUCAACGAACCAAGUUACCCCAGGGAUAACAGCGCAAUCCUUUCCAAGAGUCCA